UACGUAGGGUGCGAGCGUUAAUCGGAAUUACUGGGCGUAAAGCGUGCGCAGGCGGUUUUGUAAGUUUGUCGUGAAAUCCCCGGGCUCAACCUCGAGACGCCGAUGGAAACCAUCUGACUAGAGUCCGGAAGAGGAGAGUGGAAUUCCUGGUGUAGCGGUGAAAUGCGCAGAUAUCAGGAAGAACACCCGUGGCUAAGGCGGCUCUCUAGUACGGUACUGACGCUGAGACGCGAAAGCGUGGGGAGCGAACAGG
rnacentral:rRNA from 1 species